AGAGAAGGAAAUGCACUAGAAGCUGGAUUUGUUAAUAGCUUUCUCUGACCUGUUAUGAAAUAUUUCAAAUUUGGAGGAAGAACCCAACUGUACAAAAUAGAUUCAGAUCUCUACUGGGUACUUUCAUAAACCUAAUGGUAGUUUUUCAGAAGAGUUUACAUCAGCAUUUUGAAGGAGGAUAAUGAGAUCACUUGAAGUCUCCAGAGCUGCUCCCAGGAGAUGAAGGCUAGAAAAGAACAUAAACAGAACUGAAA